AGUGAACGCUGGCGGUAGGCCUAACACAUGCAAGUCGAACGGCAGCACAGUAAGAGCUUGCUCUUACGGGUGGCGAGUGGCGGACGGGUGAGGAAUACAUCGGAAUCUACUUUUUCGUGGGGGAGAACGUAGGGAAACUUACGCUAAUACCGCAUACGACCUACGGGUGAAAGCAGGGGAUCUUCGGACCUUGCGCGAUUGAAUGAGCCGAUGUCGGAUUAGCUAGUUGGCGGGGUAAAGGCCCACCAAGGCGACGAUCCGUAGCUGGUCUGAGAGGAUGAUCAGCCACACUGGAACUGAGACACGGUCCAGACUCCUACGGGAGGCAGCAGUGGGGAAUAUUGGACAAUGGGCGCAAGCCUGAUCCAGCCAUACCGCGUGGGUGAAGAAGGCCUUCGGGUUGUAAAGCCCUUUUGUUGGGAAAGAAAAGCAGCAGGUUAAUACCCCGCUGUUCUGACGUUACCAAAAGAAUAAGCACCGGCUAACUUCGUG
rnacentral:rRNA from 1 species